rnacentral:rRNA from 1 species
UAGGGAAUCUUCGGCAAUGGACGAAAGUCUGACCGAGCAACGCCGCGUGAGUGAAGAAGGUUUUCUGAUCGUAAAACUCUGUUGUUAGAGAAGAACAAGGACGUUAGUAACUGAACGUCCCCUGACGGUAUCUAACCAUAAAGCCACGGCUAACUACGUGCCAGCAGCCGCGGUAAUACGUAGGUGGCAAGCGUUGUCCGGAUUUAUUGGGCGUAAAGCGAGCGCAGGCUGUUUCUUAAGUCUGAUGUGAAAGCCCCCGGCUCGACCGGGGAGGGUCAUUGGGAACUGGGAGACUUGAGUGCAGGAGAGGAGAGUGGAAUUCUAUGUGUAGCGGUGAAAUGCGUAGAUAUAUGGAGGAUCACCAGUGGGGAAGGCGGCUCUCUGGUCUGUAACUGACGCUGAGGCUCGAAAGCGUGGGGAGCAAACAGG